rnacentral:rRNA from 1 species
GACGAACCGUGCGAACGUUGUUCGGAUUCACUGGGCUUAAAGGGCGCGUAGGCGGUCGACCAAGUCUGGGGUGAAAUCUUUCGGCUCAACCGGAAAAGUGCCCCCGAUACUGGCCGGCUAGAGGGAGAUAGGGGCAUGCGGAACUUCCGGUGGAGCGGUGAAAUGCGUAGAUAUCGGAAGGAACGCCGGUGGCGAAAGCGGCGUGCUGGAUCUCUUCUGACGCUGAGGCGCGAAAGCCAGGGGAGCAAAGCGGG